AAUAUCAUGUUAUGUCCUUUUUAUUACAUUCAAUUCAGUGUUCUGUAUUUUUGUUAAUUUUUUAAAUGUAGAAUACUAAUUAAAUGCCAAAAGGUAGAAGAUAAUCAUACAAUCAAUAUUGUUUCUGUUAUAAAACUGAUAAACCAUAGGCACAGCCCUGGUAGAUAAUUGGAGUGUAGACACUAUGGAGGGCACAUUCUAAAAUUAAACUACCUAUUAAGAAGACAAUAUAAAUGUUUUAAAGCCUAAUGAAACUCCUGGAUGAAUGUUUCCUAACUGCUAAAAAGCAAGAAAAAAAGAAAUGAAAGAAAAGAAAGAAAGAGCAAAACAGAAAGAGCUAAAAUAGAAAGAGCUAAAAAAGAAAGAAUUGAAAUGCAUGGUGCAUAGUACAUAUAGUUCUCUAGAUUCAUUUGUCAGUUGGGAUAAAAGAUAUGUUGAAAUUUGAAAAGAACCAUUCUGUUUUUCACCUAAUCCGAUCAGUAAUGUUAAAAGGGAGAAAACUCUGAUUUUUGUAAUCCAGACACAAAGUUUAAAUGAACCAUUGUGUUGACCCAUUGGAAGAAAGGGCUGUUCAAUACUCCCAAGGGUUUCAAAUUUCUUUUCAUCAAGAAUUAUCCCUCUUUCUCCUCUGAGAAAAAACUGAAUUACAGAGAUGAGAUUUGACACUCGCGCCCCUGUGCAGUAAAGAAGUCAGACCUUAAGUUUGUUUGCUCUCAGAUCAAGUCAACACGUUGUGGAAUUGAAUAAAAAGUCUUGAUUGCAUUUGGGAAUUGUAUGAAUGAACUGGCUUGGUGACUCACUGCUGUAGGUUCUAGUAGGACAAAGGUCUUUAUUCUCUCAUCAAUAUGAAAACAGUGGUGUCUCUUCGGAGAGGAAUAUUUGGACCCUAGCUAAUGCAAGCUUUAUCACCUGAGAGCUCAUUCUAUCCAUUAGUUUUGUUUUAUGCAUUUGGACUUGCCGCCUCAUUUUCCAACAGCUGCAUGUGUACAUAAUGAGCUAAUCUGUCUGAACGAUUGAGGUUAUAGCUAGCUACAGGAAUUGGGUCUGGGCUUCAUCUAGAUUAGACCAGGGUUUGUAGCCGAGGUAGAUGGAUCAUUUUGGAAGCUGAGCGCUUGGCGACUGGGUCGACCGACAUCAGAACAUUUCGAGACAUAGAUCCUUUGCUCGGAUAUAAGGUGUCAUCUACUUGUGCGGAGAGCUGAAUCCAGAGGCAAGGACCUGUCAAUCUCAUUCUGGAGCUCGUUAAAGUCCUGCCUCAAAUCUUUGGAGGUUAUUCCUAAUUUGCUUUAUGGGAAAUGACGCAUGUCUGAAGGACGCAAAGGAUUAUUUACAUUAAGGAAAUGAGCUCCACAAAGGAAGGAAAAGGAAUGCUUGAGGAUUACGUUUGAUGUGUCUCUGGUUGCCCUGGGAGUCUGUCUCGGCCCGAUCGAUCGUAAAUGGAACCAUAAACAAACAUAGGAAGAGAAUAUGAAAUGUGUGAGGUGUUCCUAAUUCUUGCACCAUUUUA